CUCGGAGGGUCGGAAGCAGAGCUCCAAGGCCUCUGAACCUGGCAACAGAUGCAGGAGGACAGGGUCUCUCGUCCGAAGCUGAGAACAGAGGCAGCAAGACAUCAAAGAACUAGGAUCUCUGUAUAGACAAAGGCCGGGUUGGCUUGAUGCGAGAGGUCACGGUGAAGCUGCAAACACCAGCAGAGGUGACCUCCAAGUGGAAGCAGAGGGCUUUGACCCUUGGCAGUGGGGGGGCCGCUCAGAGCUGGAGUUAGGGGAGCUUUAACUUGAUCCAAAAGGGAGGCAGACAGCUCAGCGUGUUAGCAGUAAGUGUCGGGGGCGUCAGGGGGAUGUACUUGGAGGCCUGACCUAGUCCUGGGGUCGUGAAACGGUUCGUCUAGGAAGCCGUGUUGGGCACGAGCCGCUGAAGGAGGCGUGGGAAUUGUCUAGGCAACAGCAGGGACUGGAAAGAUACCAGGUACAGGGAACAGCAUGUAUGAACGUCUGAGACGGAGACCAGAAGGUGAGCCGAUGGGGUUGGAGCAAAUCCACCGGAAAAAGGCGCAGGAUGAGGACACAAGGAUGUCAGAGAAGUUGCUCGUGGAGGUUGCCAGGGAGGAGGGCAAGAGAUGCCUGGGGUUUGGGGAACGGUAGAGACAUCUCGGCUAAGCCUUCAUCUCCAGAGGCCCCUGGGCACGCGGCUCCCAGGAAUGUGUGUGGAAGAAAGAAUCACCCUCAGAAUUACAAAAAGCACCUGAAUCUGGUUCUCCGCUCUGCCACUUACUGGCUGUGUGACAUGACUAAGGCAGCUCUCAGACCCAAGUGUCCUCAUCUACAAAGUGGCUGUGGUGUUUCAAUGAGACAGCAUAUGGCCAAGGAUUUGUACAUGAGUCUGUGAGCGAAAUCCGUGCCCAACGGAGACAAGCGUUUCUCUACUUCUCCGCCUUUCCAUAGGCUUUUGGGUUUUCCCUCUGGUUUAAGGAUAUUAAAUCACUGGCACCUUUUAUUGUAAGCUGUCUUCUUUAGAAGUUGGUGACACGUGGCUACCAACUUUGUUUUAGAACGUGGUAACACGCGUUUUCCCUUGGCUGGCACCGAUGCCCUCUUCGUCUACUGUGCACCCCAAGUUGACGAUGUCCGUUUCCUUGCUAUUUUGUUCAUUACUCUCUUUUGCUAAAUGGAUGUAAUUUGGCCUCCUCUCUCCUUCCCAGCG